ACCAGCAGCGAUAGCACGUUGUUUGCACCAAUUUCCAAUUGAUCACUCAAGUUAAACAACGUUGCACGUGGUUAGUAUCUGGAUGGGUGACCAUCUGGGCAAUCGCGUGCUACUGGUU
rfam:Asian citrus Psyllid, Diaphorina citri - Florida Strain, whole genome shotgun sequence.